GAUGAACACUAGCUACAGGCUUAACACAUGCAAGUCGAGGGGAAACGGCAUUGAGUGCUUGCACUCUUUGGACGUCGACCGGCGCACGGGUGAGUAACGCGUAUCCAACCUUCCCAUUACUGUGGGAUAACCUGCCGAAAGGCAGACUAAUACCGCAUAGUCUUUGAUGACGGCAUCAGAUUUGAAGUAAAGAUUUAUCGGUAAUGGAUGGGGAUGCGUCUGAUUAGCUUGUUGGCGGGGUAACGGCCCACCAAGGCUACGAUCAGUAGGGGUUCUGAGAGGAAGGUCCCCCACAUUGGAACUGAGACACGGUCCAAACUCCUACGGGAGGCAGCAGUGAGGAAUAUUGGUCAAUGGACGGAAGUCUGAACCAGCCAAGUAGCGUGCAGGAUGACGGCCCUAUGGGUUGUAAACUGCUUUUGUAUGGGGAUAAAGUUAGGGACGUGUCCCUAUUUGCAGGUACCAUACGAAUAAGGACUGGCUAAUUCCGUGCCAGCAGCCGCGGUAAUACGGAAGGUCCAGGCGUUAUCCGGAUUUAUUGGGUUUAAAGGGAGCGUAGGCUGGAGAUUAAGUGUGUUGUGAAAUGUAGACGCUCAACGUCUGAAUUGCAGCGCAUACUGGUUUCCUUGAGUACGCACAACGUUGGCGGAAUUCGUCGUGUAGCGGUGAAAUGCUUAGAUAUGACGAAGAACUCCGAUUGCGAAGGCAGCUGACGGGAGCGCAACUGACACUUAAGCUCGAAGGUGCGGGUAUCAAACAGG
rnacentral:rRNA from 1 species